AACGCUAGCUACAGGCUUAACACAUGCAAGUCGAGGGGAAACGACAUCGAAAGCUUGCUUUUGAUGGGCGUCGACCGGCGCACGGGUGAGUAACACGUAUCCAACCUGCCGAUAACUCGGGGAUAGCCUUUCGAAAGAAAGAUUAAUACCCGAUAGCAUAGUAUUUCCGCAUGGUUUCACUAUUAAAGAAUUUCGGUUAUCGAUGGGGAUGCGUUCCAUUAGAUAGUUGGCGGGGUAACGGCCCACCUAGUCUUCGAUGGAUAGGGGUUCUGAGAGGAAGGUCCCCCACAUUGGAACUGAGACACGGUCCAAACUCCUACGGGAGGCAGCAGUGAGGAAUAUUGGUCAAUGGGCGAGAGCCUGAACCAGCCAAGUAGCGUGCAGGAUGACGGCCCUAUGGGUUGUAAACUGCUUUUAUAAGGGAAUAAAGUGAGUCUCGUGAGACUUUUUGCAUGUACCUUAUGAAUAAGGAUCGGCUAACUCCGUGCCAGCAGCCGCGGUAAUACGGAGGAUCCGGGCGUUAUCCGGAUUUAUUGGGUUUAAAGGGAGCGUAGGUUGACAUAUAAGUCAGCUGUGAAAGUUUACGGCUCAACCGUGAAAUUGCAGUUGAUACUGUAUGUCUUGAGUGUACAAGAGGUGGGCGGAAUUCGUGGUGUAGCGGUGAAAUGCUUAGAUAUCACGAAGAACUCCGAUUG
rnacentral:rRNA from 1 species